GGAUAGAGAGAGGGAGAGAGAGAGAGAGAGAGAGAGAGAAAGAGAGAGAGAGAGAAAGAAAAAAGGGGAGAGAGAUCAAUAGCCCCCUCCCCUGCCCACACCCUGCAGGAGGCACACACAUGCAGUGUCAGAUGCAGCUCUGGACCACUCAUAGACAGACACAGGCACGUGUAGCUUUUGGACGCGGCACACCCUGCUCUACGCUAUCAUGUCUGACAAACCCAAUAUGAGAGAAAUCUCCAGCUUUGACAAGACUAGGCUGAAGAAGACGGAGACCAGAGUGAAGAACCCAUUGCCAACCAAAGAAACAAUCGACCAAGAGAGGAAACGAGAGCCAUCGCCUUGACCAGAAGAAGCGAAGUGUUUCCGACCAGCUACUUUAAUUUGAUUCUCUGACCUCCAUCUGUCAAGAAACUUAACUAUGAAGGGAGAACAGGACCUUGACUUUUAUCACACUGGUGCUCAAUAAAAUUGGAAAAUGAGGGUUAUUAGGAUCGGUUGCUACAGUCAGAGGAUGUUUUCGAAACACUUAUUGCUCAAUGUUUUGUAUGUCUCUAAGUCAGAGUAAUAAAAGAUGACAUAAAAAGA